GUUGUAGGCUAAUUUCUAAUGAUCUGUGGAUACUUAAAGUAUCCAGGCUGGGCGUGGUGGCUCAUGCUUGUAAUUCUAGCACUUUGGGAGGCCAAGGUGGGAGGAUCACUUGAUCCCAGGAGUUUGAGACCAGCAGUCUGGGCAACAUGGUAAAACCCAUCUCCAUAAAAAGUACAAAAAUCGGCCAGGCGGGGUGGCACACGCCUGUAGUUCCAGCCACUUGGGAGGCUGAGAUAGGAGGAUGGUUUGAGCCUAAGAGGCGGAGGUUGCAGUGAAGCCAAAAUCAUGCCAUUGCACUCCAGCUUCUGCAGCAGAGCCACACCCUGUUUAAAAAAAAAAAAAAGUUAUCUAUUGAGAUAAUCCAGCAUAAAGUUCUGAGGUCCCUCUUGCUAAUAGCUUUUCUUAACUCUGGCAACAUAUUUUAUUAGUAACUGACAACAAGUUAUAUGCAUCCUGAUUUGAAGAAACCAACAAAGAUACUAAACGUUUCUGAAUAUAAAUGUUUACUUAAAAUGAAAUCUUGACACUAACUUGUUAUUUUGUAAAUUGCAUUGUAAAAUGUUACCAAGUUAUCAUGCAUUCAGAAAAGAAAACGCUGACUUUUGUUAAGUAGGUUUACAUUUAUUUUUAAUCACUUAAAUUUCCAUCUUUCAUUCUCUACAGUUUACUGGAAUAUUUGAGAAUCAAAAUUAAAAAUGCAUAAUAUAAAUGAUAGGAAAUAAUAAUAGGUAUCAGGUUAGCUUUUAAAACUUUUUAAAAAUACUCUGAGGGUAAUGUUUAUUACAUAAUGUUUAAUUAUGUACUUAUUCAAAUUUAGACGUUUGGAGUCUAACACGUUGGAUUUCCAUUAUUGACAUCUCCUGUUGUCAUCAUAUAGCAAGUAAAAGUCUUAGUCCCAGGAGUUUACAAGUUGGAGAAUAAAGACAAAUACACAUAAAAUCAUGAAAUAACAUUUCCAGAGUUUAUGAAAUACCAAACCACCAGAGAUUCAUCAACAGAGAAUUGAAACUGGUGGCUCAGGAAAACUAUAACUAAUAUGUAGGAAGGACCAGAAUAGAAAAUAAGAGAUACGGUGUCCAGGUAUUGACAGUAUCUCAGGUACCAAGUGACAAGGACCCAGACAGUAGUUCUGGCAAUAGAAAUAGAAAGGAAUGUUGAAUUUGGAAGAAAUGACCAAAUUUGAUAUCUCACUGGAAGUUGUGAAAUGAGGAUGGAAGAGUUAAAAAAAAUUAUGCAUAAUAAAUAACCAAGAGAUAUGUGGUGUUAUUUUCAGAUAUAUGUUAAUAAAAAUGAGAGAGAAAUUUUGACACUAAGAUGAUAAACGUAGCUGGGACAUGUUAAGUUUGAAACAAUGCAGAGUUCCUGCUGGAGAUGGAACUAUUUUCACCACUGGAAUUCUCUGAGAAGCAGACUCUGAGAUUGAAUUUAGUAUGUGUGUGCAGUGUUUAUUAGGCUGUACACUUGGGAUCAGUAUGUGAAGAUGAAGGUAAGAAAGCAAAAGAGCUGAGAGAGAAGUCGAGCUGUGGUGCAAGCCCAAUAGCCUCAGCCCACCUCAUAGAAUACCCUGGAGUUUAAAAGGCUAGUUACAGUUGUCCAAUGGAGAGCACAAUUUGACGGGCCUUUAUAACCUCAAUGAUUGGAUGGAUAUAAGCUGACCUGGGAAAGGACAUGAUUUGGACAAGGCAGCUAUGGCCAUCCCUGAAGAAGCUGACAGAUAAAUGCUAUUUGUUACCUGUACUCCCAACAGUUCAGCAAAAGUUCAUUAAGCCAUGGCACAUCACAGUGACUACCACAACUGUGAAACUGCAGUAAAGAUAAUAGUUGGAACUAGAGAAAAAUUAUAUAAUUAGUGAAUUCCAGUUCUGUUUCUGUUUUUAGUAUUGGUAAGCAUAACACAAAAUCUACCAUGAUUAUGGUUAUUGUUUUUUGCAAUGCUAGAUUAUCCUAAUAGAAAAUAAAAUAAUUUUGAAAUUGUGGAGUACUCAUUUAUGUGUUUACUUUUAUAAAAGCAGUAAAUGUCCCUAAAACGAAUUAUUAUUAUUACCUACAACAUGAUAAAUAAGCAAAUUAAGAAAUUUGCUAAUUGCUCAUCUUUGCUCACAAUAGCUAGCUUGUGGGGGGAAAGAAAUAGAGCAGUAUGCAAUAGAAGUAAUGAGAAUUUUAAAACAAUUUUGAAUAUUUUCUAAUUAAUCAGUUCAGAGACACACAGACUGAUAUUUCACUAGCCUUUGGAAGACUUUAACCACAAGGGAGACUUUAAAAAUAAUUUUCACAUUACCAAACAUUUAAAAUAUUUGUCAAAUUACAAGAUUUCCACAAUAUUUCAGAAUGUUACCUAAAGUUCAUGUUCAUCCGAUAUUCAUCAACCACAUUUUUUUCUAAUAAAUACAUGUCACAGUUCUAUACCAUUUCUCAUUUAAAUACUGGCAAUUAUCUAUUGAUAAAAUUAUUUUCACAAUUCAAUGAAACUAUAAGAGCUUGACUAACUUUAGGCCUUAAAAUGUGUAUAGGUGUGUAUGUGUGUGUGUAUUUUUAUUGCUGUAGUUAAUUUAUUUUUCUUACUAAAACAAUGAUGCUUCAAGAUGAGAAAACAUGUCAUAGACUGAAAGAAAAUAUUUGCAAAAUAUGUGUCUGAUAAAGGACUAUUAUCAAAAUAUACAAAGAACUGUUGAAACUCAAGAAAAAGAAAACUAACCAAUUUAAAAAAUAGGCGAAAAGCCAUCAGCAGUGGACUGGACAAACAAAAUGUAGUACAGCUACACCAUGGAAUACUGUGCAGCCAUAAAAAGAAGGAAAUCAUGUCCUUUGCAGCAACACAGAUGGAAACCAUUAUCCUAAAUCAAUUAAUGCAGGAACAAUAACAACAACAAAAACAAAUACUGCAUGUCCUCAUAAGUGAGAGCUAAACAUUGAGUACACAUGGACAUAAAGAAGGGAAUAACAGACAUCAGCGCCUCUUUGAGAGUGGAGAGUGGAUGGGAAGGUGAAACCCAUAAACUACCUAUCAGGCACUAUUUCCUGGGUGAUGAAAUAAUCUGUACACAAAUCCCCAUCUCACACACACACACACACACACACACACACACACACAGUUUUAAUUUGUGACUGCCAAAAUUUGGUGCAACCAGGAUGUCCUUCAUUAGGUGAAUGGAUAAACUAUGGUACAUUCAGACAAUGAAAUAUUAUUCAGCACUAAAAAGAAGUGAGCUAUUAAGCCAUGAAAAGACAUGAAUAAACCUUAAAUUUAUAUUACUAAGUGAAGAAAACAAAUCUAAAAGGCUACAUACUGUAUGAUUCCAGCUGUAUGACAUUCUGGAAAAGGUUUAAGUGUGGAGACUGUAGAAGCCUCAGUGGUUUCCAGGGGUUAGAGAAGAGUGAGGGAUGGAUAGAUGGAACCCAGGGAAUUUUUAGGACAGUGAAACUGCUCUGUAUGAUACUCUACUUGUGGAUAUAUAUUAUUAUACAUUUGUCCAAAUCCACAGAAUGCAGAACACCAAAAAUGAAACCUAAUGUAAACUAAGGAAUUUGAGUAAUAAUGAGUUGUCAAUGUAGGUUUGAUUAUAAUAAAUGUACUGCUCUGGUGGAGAAUGUUGAUAGUAAGGGAUGGUGAGGAGGUGUGUGUAGGGUAUGGAAAAUAAAGGAAAUCUCUGUACCUUCUGUGCAAUUUUAUUGCGAACCUAAAACCACUCUAAAAAGUAAAGCCUAUUUAAAAACAACAACAAUAAAAACAAACUAUUAUAGGAAAUGACUUGCAUUCAGAAACUAUGAACCAAUAUGUAGUAUUGAUAAUUUGAUAUAGAAAAGUUUUCCUUUUCUUUUCUCUUGCAUUAACUGUAUUUUCCAUAAACACAUUUUCUUUUCAUCUAAUGAAAAUCAUUGUUCUAUUUUAACUUCCUAUCUGAAUGUCAGGGUGGCAUUAGUACCUUUACAUGCCCCAUUUAUAACAGGCAUCUGUUCUUAACCUGAAUUGCCAUUGCUUGAGCAUCAGUACACACUGCCUCUUCUGCAGUCGUUUGAAAAAUCAUUAAUCAUUUUAUGUUAAAUGGAACUAGGCUCCCCUGAGGGCCUUCUAUGGAUAGUUUUACUCUUUCAGAGAUUCUAACAUAUCUUUCUUUAUUAUUAUUGAGAAAAAUUUGUAUAAUUUUAUUUUUAAGCAAAUGUCCUUUCUAAUUUUCAUUUUGUAGACUUUAACCUGUCUCCUUCACCAUCCCCACCUCUACUAACUUAAUGAACAAAGCUUAAAACCUCAGAGGUCCUUUUAUGAAAAGUUUCUGAACACCUAAUUUGAAAUAUCAAAAUUCUUUUUUCAACAUAGGCAACUAUUAAAUAGCAACUAAUUUUAGCUCCCAAUUUCAAGGCCACUUAAUAUAAAUAGGCUGAGUUUCUGAAUGAGGCAAUGGUUCACUAGUAAUCAUUUUCUCAUGUUUCUUAGAUCUCAUAUAUUCCUGACAGAUCCAUACCUGUAUGAUAAUUUAGUAGGAUGUCUUUGGUGAAAGCUCUUUAAAAGACUGCUCAACUCAAAUAUUGGAACAUAGUUCUAGGUACCUUAAAUGAAGAAAAUACAUAUUUGGUAUAGUGAAAAAGAGAUUUCUAAUGGGCCUGAUGCCUCUAACCACCUGGAAGAGAGCAAAUGGUGGGUCUCAAACUCAAUUUUGGUGGUUCAGGCUUAAAAAUGCCUAACAGCAAACAGUGAAUUUUGUUUUAUUUUUGGAAGUGACAUUAUUUCAAGUUAUUUUCCUGACUUUCCACUACUAGAAGAGUCCCUGAGAACAAAUACAUUUGUUUUAAAGCAAUUCUUAAUUAGCUGCUUAGAGGAAGAUGCUGUGAGCUGCCAACUCUACAAUUCUUUCAACAGUCAGAAGAAGCCUUGACCUAGGAUGAGGCCAGGAACAAGGCUGGAGAAAGCAAAUUGGAGAGCUGAUGUGUUCCCGUACACCUGUUCCUAAACCCAGAAGCCUUAAAAACUAAGACUCAGGUGACAAAUUUCUUAUUCUACCAUUUCACUCACCAAAAAGUGACAAGAGG
rnacentral:lncRNA from 1 species